rnacentral:rRNA from 1 species
ACGCUGAAGCUUGGUGCUUGCACUGGGUGGAUGAGUGGCGAACGGGUGAGUAAUACGUGAGUAACCUGCCCUUGACUCUGGGAUAAGCCUGGGAAACUGGGUCUAAUACUGGAUACGACAUGUCACCGCAUGGUGGUGUGUGGAAAGGGUUUUACUGGUUUUGGAUGGGCUCACGGCCUAUCAGCUUGUUGGUGGGGUAAUGGCUCACCAAGGCGACGACGGGUAGCCGGCCUGAGAGGGUGACCGGCCACACUGGGACUGAGACACGGCCCAGACUCCUACGGGAGGCAGCAGUGGGGAAUAUUGCACAAUGGGCGAAAGCCUGAUGCAGCGACGCCGCGUGAGGGAUGACGGCCUUCGGGUUGUAAACCUCUUUCAGCACGGAAGAAGCGAAAGUGACGGUACGUGCAGAAGAAGCGCCGGCUAACUACGUGCCAGCAGCCGCGGUAAUACGUAGGGCGCAAGCGUUGUCCGGAAUUAUUGGGCGUAAAGAGCUCGUAGGCGGUUUGUCGCGUCUGCUGUGAAAGCCCGGGGCUUAACCCCGGGUGUGCAGUGGGUACGGGCAGACUUGAGUGCAGUAGGGGAGACUGGAAUUCCUGGUGUAGCGGUGAAAUGCGCAGAUAUCAGGAGGAACACCGAUGGCGAAGGCAGGUCUCUGGGCUGUUACUGACGCUGAGGAGCGAAAGCAUGGGGAGCGAACAGGAUUAGAUACCCUGGUAGUCCAUGCCGUAAACGUUGGGCACUAGGUGUGGGGAACAUUCCACGUUUUCCGCGCCGUAGCUAACGCAUUAAGUGCCCCGCCUGGGGAGUACGGCCGCAAGGCUAAAACUCAAGGAAUUGACGGGGGCCCGCACAAGCGGCGGAGCAUGCGGAUUAAUUCGAUGCAACGCGAAGAAU